GUGCCAGCCGCCGCGGUAAUACGUAGGCAGCGAGCGUUGUUCGGAAUUACUGGGCGUAAAGAGUGUGUAGGCGGUGUUCCCAGUCUGUUGUGAAAUCUCCCGGCUUAACUGGGAGGGUGCAGCGGAAACUAGAAUGCUAGAGGGUGGGAGAGGUAAGCGGAAUUCCUGGUGUAGCGGUGAAAUGCGUAGAUAUCAGGAGGAACACCUGUGGUGUAGACAGCUUACUGGACCACUUCUGACGCUGAGACACGAAAGCGUGGGUAGCAAACAGGAUUAGAUACCCGCGUAGUCC
rnacentral:rRNA from 1 species